rnacentral:rRNA from 1 species
UACGAAGGGGGCUAGCGUUGCUCGGAAUCACUGGGCGUAAAGCGCACGUAGGCGGCUUCUUAAGUCAGGGGUGAAAUCCUGGAGCUCAACUCCAGAACUGCCUUUGAUACUGAGUAUCUUGAGUACGGGAGAGGUGAGUGGAACUGCGAGUGUAGAGGUGAAAUUCGUAGAUAUUCGCAAGAACACCAGUGGCGAAGGCGGCUCACUGGCCCGUAACUGACGCUGAGGCACGAAAGCGUGGGGAGCAAACAGG